AGUGAACGCUGGCGGUAGGCCUAACACAUGCAAGUCGAACGGCAGCACAGUAAGAGCUUGCUCUUACGGGUGGCGAGUGGCGGACGGGUGAGGAGUACAUCGGAAUCUACUUUUUCGUGGGGGAUAACGUAGGGAAACUUACGCUAAUACCGCAUACGACCUACGGGUGAAAGCAGGGGAUCUUCGGACCUUGCGCGAUUGAAUGAGCCGAUGUCGGAUUAGCUAGUUGGCGGGGUAAAGGCCCACCAAGGCGACGAUCCGUAGCUGGUCUGAGAGGAUGAUCAGACACACUGGAACUGAGACACGGUCCAGACUCCUACGGGAGGCAGCAGUGGGGAAUAUUGGACGAUGGGCGAAAGCCUGAUCCAGCAAUACCGCGUGGGUGAAGAAGGCCUUCGGGUUGUAAAGCCAUUUUGUUGGGAAAGAAAAGCAGCAGGUUAAUACCCCGCUGUUCUGACGGUACCCAAAGAAUAAGCACCGGCUAACUUCGUG
rnacentral:rRNA from 1 species